rnacentral:rRNA from 1 species
UAACCUGCCUGGUAGCGGGGGGUAACUAUUGGAAACGAUAGCUAAUACCGCAUAACAACAGUUGUUGCAUGACAGCUGUUUAAAAGAUGCAAUUGCAUCACUACCAGAUGGACCUGCGUUGUAUUAGCUAGUUGGUGAGGUAACGGCUCACCAAGGCAACGAUACAUAGCCGACCUGAGAGGGUGAUCGGCCACACUGGGACUGAGACACGGCCCAG